rnacentral:misc_RNA from 1 species
CCCUACAUGAUUGAUUAGCUUGAUCUUUCCCUUGGCAACUCUCUGCUGGACAAUCAUAAACCAGUCUCAAUUUCUGACACUUGGGGCAUGUCUCAAUGUCAAUGGCACAAUCAUCAUCAGAAGAGAGAUAAAACCGUCCUAGAUGAUAAAACCGUGGUUUGUUUGCUUUCAGUUGCAUGUGUUUAUCUGCUCCAAGUAUGGACUUCAACUCUUCAAACUGCUUUUCUGUUAC